rnacentral:rRNA from 1 species
AAUCCAUUCCCCACCAGCACCUUCCGGCGAACCACCGCACCUCUCCCCGGCGAAGCAGCAGCGUCCGAUGGCCCCCAAGGCGGAGAAGAAGCCGGCUGCCGCGGAGAAGACUCCGGCGGCCGAGAAGACCACCGCGGGCAAGAAGCCCAAGGCCGAGAAGCGGCCGCCCAAGUCCAAGGAGGGCGGCGCCGACAAGAAGAAGAAGAAGGCCAAGAAGAGCGUGGAGACUUACAAGAUCUACAUCUUCAAGGUGCUGAAGCAGGUGCACCCGGACAUCGGCAUCUCCUCCAAGGCCAUGUCCAUCAUGAACUCCUUCAUCAACGACAUCUUCGAGAAGCUCGCCGGCGAGUCCGCCAAGCUCGCCCGCUACAACAAGAAGCCCACCAUCACGUCCCGGGAGAUCCAGACCUCCGUCCGCCUCGUCCUCCCCGGCGAGCUCGCCAAACACGCUGUCUCUGAGGGCACCAAGGCCGUCACCAAGUUCACCUCCUCUUAGAUAGCAUGUUCUCUGUCGUCCUGGUGGAUCGAUGUUUCUCUGUAAUGGUCAUCUGUUCGGACCAUGUUGGUCUUGUAAUUUGUGCUGGUUGUGUUGGAAGACAUUGUUUCAUUAUCU